GACGGAGGAUGCAAGCGUUAUCCGGAAUGAUUGGGCGUAAAGAGUCCGCAGGCGGCCGGUCACGUCGGCUGUGAAAGACCGGGGCUUAACUUCGGAACGGCAGUGGAAACUGAACAGCUAGAGUAUGGUAGGGGCAGAGGGAAUUCCUGGUGUAGCGGUGAAAUGCGUAGAGAUCAGGAAGAACAUCGGUGGCGAAGGCGCUCUGCUGGACCAUAACUGACACUCAGGGACGAAAGCUAGGGGAGCGAAUGGG
rnacentral:rRNA from 1 species